rnacentral:rRNA from 1 species
UAGAGUUUGAUCCUGGCUCAGAUUGAACGCUGGCGGCAUGCUUUACACAUGCAAGUCGAACGGUAACAGGUCUUCGGAUGCUGACGAGUGGCGAACGGGUGAGUAAUACAUCGGAACGUGCCUAGUAGUGGGGGAUAACUACUCGAAAGAGUAGCUAAUACCGCAUGAGAUCUACGGAUGAAAGCAGGGGACCUUUGGGCCUUGUGCUACUAGAGCGGCUGAUGGCAGAUUAGGUAGUUGGUGGGGUAAAGGCUUACCAAGCCUGUGAUCUGUAGCUGGUCUGAGAGGACGACCAGCCACACUGGGACUGAGACACGGCCCAGACUCCUACGGGAGGCAGCAGUGGGGAAUUUUGGACAAUGGGCGAAAGCCUGAUCCAGCAAUGCCGCGUGCAGGAUGAAGGCCCUCGGGUUGUAAACUGCUUUUGUACGGAACGAAAAGCCUGGGGCUAAUAUCCCCGGGUCAUGACGGUACCGUAAGAAUAAGCACCGGCUAACUACGUGCCAGCAGCCGCGGUAAUACGUAGGGUGCAAGCGUUAAUCGGAAUUACUGGGCGUAAAGCGUGCGCAGGCGGUUUUGUAAGACAGUGGUGAAAUCCCCGGGCUC